CAGUCGCCGCGGGAAUACGAAGGGGGCUAGCGUUGUUCGGAUUUACUGGGCGUAAAGGGUGCGUAGGCGGACUGAUAAGUCAGGGGUGAAAUCCCAAGGCUCAACCUUGGAACUGCCUUUGAUACUGUUAGUCUUGAGUUCGAGAGAGGUGAGUGGAACUGCGAGUGUAGAGGUGAAAUUCGUAGAUAUUCGCAAGAACACCAGUGGCGAAGGCGGCUCACUGGCUCGAAACUGACGCUGAGGCACGAAAGCGUGGGGAGCAAACAGGAUUAGAUACCGGGUAGUCCCUGUCUCUUAUACA
rnacentral:rRNA from 1 species